CCUACGGGAGACAGCAGUGAGGAAUAUUGGUCAAUGGACGCAAGUCUGAACCAGCCAUGCCGCGUGCAGGAAGACGGCUCUAUGAGUUGUAAACUUCUUUUGUACGAGGGUAAACGCAGAUACGCGUAUCUGUCUGCAAGUAUCUUACGAAUAAGGAUCGGCUAACUCCGUGCCAGCAGCCGCGGUAAUACGGAGGAUUCAAGCGUUAUCCGGAUUUAUUGGGUUUAAAGGGUGCGUAGGCGGUCUGAUAAGUCAGAGGUGAAAUCCCGAGGCUCAACUUUGGAAUUGCAUCUGAUACUGGUCGGCUUGAGAGUAGUUGAGGUAGGCGGAAUGUAUGGUGUAGCGGUGAAAUGCUUAGAGAUCACACAGAACCCCGAUUGCGAAGGCAGCUUACUAAGCUGCUUCUGACGUUGAGGCACGAAAGCGUGGGGAGCAAACAGGAUUAGAUACCCUUGUAGUC
rnacentral:rRNA from 1 species